GCCAGGUGUGGUGGUGCGCACCUGUAAUCCCAGCUACUCAGGAGGCUGAGGCAGGAGAAUCGCUUGAACCCGGGAGGUGGAGGUUGCAGUGAGCCCAGAUUGUGCCACUGCACUCCAGCCUGGGUAACACAAUGAGACUCUGUCUCAA
rfam:Homo sapiens chromosome 17, GRCh38 reference primary assembly.